AUGUUCUUUUUUCCACGACACAAAGGGUCACCUAUUUUUAAAAUAGACUAAGAAUAAGCUACACUCCAUGAUGCAGGAGCUGGUAAAUAUUGCAGUGCAAACUGGUGUUAUUUGUAGACACUUACUUUAGCAAACUGUGAUUUUAAAGGGGUCAUUUGUAACUAAUUCACUUGCUCAAAGUUUAGUAUUAAAAGAUUGGGAGGGGGGUUGUGUAUGGAGGAUGAAUGGAUAUUUUUUGUACUGUAGUUUCAAACUGAAAUUAUUCCAAUAUAUUUUAUAUAUGUGUAAUUGUAUUUAAGAAUGAAUGGGGUAUUUAUUUUCCUGUGAAACAUGACUUCAUUAAAGCACUAGAAACAUUAGCUAAGAAACACUUUCAGAUUUCUCCCUUGUGAUCAGUACAGAUCUGGUUAUCUAGUAUGUGAAGUGAAUUUGGUGCUUUUAACCCUAUAGCAGAAAACUUUUGUUUUGUUGUUGAGAAAAUGUUAGGUUUUUUGUGAGCCUUAAAUUAUUAAAUAUUGUAGAUAUAUUUCUUUAUAAGUACUUUUAUUAACAAUCUUACUGUUUCAGAAUUUCUAAUAAUUCAGCCCUGUGCUUUAUAUCCCAGAAAAACAUUGUGCAGCUUUUUGUUUGUUUGUUUGUUUUUCUACCGCUGGUAUAAUUUUGAGAUUUUUUUAUAGGCUAUUGUCUGCUGUUACUAGUUUUUAUCCAAGUGCACAACAGAUCAAAAACAGUGGGAGCUGGAGGAAACAACUUGAAAGCUAAUCAUGUGUGCAGUAUCUGCAAAGCUUUUUUGAUUUGCACUCCAGAUUUCUUUAGCACACGAAUCAGUCACAUUGCGUACCCAGGCCAUUCGUAUAAAUGGCUCGCUGUUUUUAAUGAUCAUAUUUCAAAAACGGAUGGCACUUAGAGUCUGACAUGGCACAGAGUGCUACUUAAGUAACCAUCAUGUGGCUUAUGUCUUGGACUGAGGAGGAAAGAAUCAUCUUUCAUCAAAAUGUUUUCUUUUUCUGUUAUUUCAAAGCAAAAGCGUCACAAUGUUAUGGAUUUUACAAUUUCAAUCUUCCUGAAUGACAAUGACAGAGCGUCUUCAUUUUGAUGACAUGGCACUGUGCAGCUACCUUAGUGAACACUGAAAUGAAGUUGAUUCGUUACUUCAAAUGAAAGCGCUACAUUAUCAUUUCUGUUGCAAAGAACUUACUAUUUUUUUGCAUACUUCUGUUGCACUACUGAAGGAUGUUUCAUGCCUUUACCAUGGCAAGAUUAGCAGGUCAUGGAAGAGAAGUCUUGAUUGUCAACGGUCAAGAGUGACCUGGAGCAGAGACAGUGGUGCUGUUCUUGAGAAGGCUUCCCGGGACAUAGCAGUGCACAGCACACCCAAUGAGACACAGUACUGGGAUGGAAAUUCCAGUCUGGGGAGGGUGUGAGUCAUGAGUUGAGGCUGCCUGAGAAGCUAUUUAGGGCAUCUUUUUUUAUAAUGUUUUUAACUGAUCUUGUGUUGCUUUUUUAAUUUAUACUUACAUCUACUUAGCUUGUCAUUUUUUUGUAUAUUACGUAUUUUUAUUUCCAAAUUUGUAAAAAAAAAUAUUUUAUUUUUUAAUUUAUAUUUAUGCAAGAAAAAGGAAGUCAUUGUAAUUGUGGUUUGACAUCUUUGGCAACAAAUUUUAUUCGCUACUCAGUGGCCACUGUUUUGGUUAAGACACCAUUUCAUUAAUCAUAUCUGUAAACCCAAUAGGGUGCUGAAGGUAACCUCCUGGGAGAGGACCUUUAUGGUCCAAAUUUUCAGAAAGGGAGGCUGGAGGUAAGAAAAUACACAGCUGCCCUUGAAGUCAAUGGAAAUCUGUCCGUUGUAAAUGGUUAUUUGGCCAAGCUAACUGGUGAUUUGCAUAGGCAAAUACCUGAUUUGCAGAGGUAGCUGUAUUCAUUGCAUGCACAAAUGUAGGCAUGUAAUUGAGCAUACUAUCCUGCAAGUGGAUCUACCUACUUUUCUGAAAAUGUUACCCUAGAAAUCUCACUUACGAGUGUAGGGGAGAAAAGUAAUUUCUUUCUUCUGUGAAAUCUGUCUAUGCAACUGUACUGAAUUAGAAGAUUUGUCCAACAGGAAAGUCAGGAAUGGUUUCCGGAGGCACGGAUACAUUAUUGGUUUGCUCUAAAGUAAAGCAAAAUAAUGGAACAUUGCAAUCUAUGUGUCUGAUCUAAGCCAUAUCUCUGUAUCUGGUAUGCAUCCUAAAGACUGCACCUAUAGUUGCUUGGUAGAGGACUGGCUGCCUUUCUCCUGGUGUCCCGCUGCAGUAAAAGGACAUUGGGAAGAAGUUCAGAGAUUGGAACUAACACAGGUAGCCAGAUUCCUUUGCUCCCUGUUCCCAUACCUUCUUGGGAUAUGAAACUCUAUUGAAAACCUUUCCCCCCCAUACAUUGCUUUGGAGUUGCCCAGCUUCUUCUCCGCCGCCCUCCCUUCCCCCUCACAUGGAUGUGUUCUCAUCGGUUGGAUUCCUCAAUUUGGAUGUUUGGAAAUCUGUUAUUUUGGGAGUUUUCUCUUACAGAGAAGCUUUUCUGCAUUCAGAGCCCAGUUUUGAACUCAUUCUCAGACACAGUGAAAUACAUCAGGGACUCUGCUAUUUUGGAUUUCGUAUGGAAAUACAUGAAUGAUCGUCUCUAAGUCUUUGCUUUCCUUCCACUAGUGCUGUUCUUUGUCAAACUCUCUCAUAGUUUAGGGAGAUUAUUCAAGCACCAUUUAUUUCUGUCUUUUUUGACAUUAAUUUUCUUUUAUUUCUUUUGUAUUUUUAAGAUGUGAAGUCUCCAGGGUUAAUAUUUCAAAUCUUAGCAUCAAAGUGCUGUGCAUACAGGUCUAGUACACAUCUGAAGGUUAGUCUUAGUUUUUGUGUGGCUUUGACUUGAACACUUUUCCAUUUCUCUUUCUGUUAAUAUUGGUAUUUGGGAAAUGUGCGCUGCCUGUAUUCUUUCUGCCUUUUGCCCCUGUCUCUUAAUUCAAUAAAAAAAUGUUUUCC